UGAAGAACUGCAUCUCUUUGGCACUUUAUAACCUUCAGGACUCAAUACUGGAGUUUAAUAACUUCAUAGCAUGAACGUUAUUGUGAUUAUUUCACACCCAGCCACCACAUCAAUUUUUAGCCUCUUUCAUUUCCAAAGAAGGUUCAAUGGACUUGAAACAUUAACUGUUUCUAUUUUCACAGAUGCUGCCAGACUUGGAGUUUCUUCAACACUUUGCUCCUGUUCAAAUCAAACAGAAAUAACAAGCAUUUGGACAACACCGAAAGCUGCCACAUGAGGAAAUGUGUCUGAGUAGGGACUGCUACCUCCAGAAAAGAUGCUGCCAAAUAGCUGAGUAUUUCUAACUUCUACUUUUAUUGCAAGUAAUCCCUUGUUGAAGGGGGCAAUUAAAGAAUGCCAAUUAAUAUCCUGCAUAAUGCGUGAACAAGUUCUGAACUAUUGGGUCAGCAAUUCCUCAAAUAUUCACCUUCAUGGCAAGAGCGAUCAAAGCUCCCUCUGUUGGCUGUCCCAUCAGUGUAUCAUUUUGAAUAACGGCAUCAUUACAUACACAGCCAGCCUGUAAAAUAAAAGUGCAUGUUGGUCUUCACAUGCUGGGAGAGGACUCAACAGUGGAAGACAAAAUAGUAGAUGCUGAAAAGGAAGGAAGGAAAAUAGGAGGUGGCCAGGGAGAAAACUAAAAAACAAGGCCAAAGAGAAAGAUUUCAAGUGUUUGAAUACUCUGAUGAAUGUUCAUUAACCUGAAAUUUCAACUGUUUCUCCCUCCAAACAGCCAGACCACAGUUUUUCC